UCUUGGUCAUUUAGAGGAAGUAAAAGUCAUAACAAGGUUUCUGUCGCAAGUACAGGAUCAUCGAUCCUUCUGCAGAUAACACUUAUCGAAGCCUUAGCUGCCCGAAAGGGUGCUCUGCGUGACUAUAAACAAUGCAAACGAGCCUCAAGAGCUAGUCAGCAGGUGAGCUGGCGACACUAUCAAAUUGCGGGGACUUCCUUACAGCUUGAGAUACCGCGGCCGCACGGAAACGUGCGGUGCAGCACCAGGGUAAUGACCUCGGGGAUGGUAAUAACUCUCAAGAUUGGACAAUCCGCAGCCAAGUCCUACCAGUGCACUGCACUCACGGAUGCUGUUAACAGAUCAAAUGGUAGUGGGUGGAGCGCACAGUGCGCUCUGCUUAAGAUAUGAUCGGUCCCUGCGCGAAAGCAUGGGGGUAAGUUAUCUGUAAUUCUCAAACGUUCUGUAGGUGAACCUGCAGAAGGAUCAUUAGUGAAUCAACCGGGGUACUCACUCUGUGAGCCCCAACCCUUCACCAAAUCCACACACCGUGCACCGUUGAUGAUUGCCGCAGCUGCGUGCCUGCACGCAUGUCUGCCUGUGAUCAUUGACACCUUUACACACACUCACACCAGUAACUGAAUGUCACUGUACCUACGCUCGUCGUAGAAACAACAAUACAACUUUUGACAACGGAUCUCUUGGUUCUCCCAUCGAUGAAGAACGCAGCGAAAUGCGAUAAGUAAUGUGAAUUGCAGAAUUCAGUGAAUCAUCGAAUCUUUGAACGCACCUUGCGCUCCUUGGCAAUCCGAGGAGCAUGCCUGUUUGAGUGUCAUGAAUUCUCAACCUGCAGUACUUUGCUGUACUGCCUAAGGUUGGUCCAUGAGUGUCUGCUAUCGCGCACGUGCCCUCGUGGCGCGCGCACCCGAAAGCUCGCUUCAAACGUAUUAGCCGGACCGCAUUCAUGCGACCGCACGGGUUACUACUCAACGUGAUAAGUUCACAUCGUUGAGGAUGUCGAUCGCAAGACCGACAACCCGUCGACUGCUAUGCACACGUCUGCUUCCAGAUCAGCGCGAAGUGCCCUCACGGGCCUUCAACCCACACUUAAUGCUCUGGCCUCAAAUCAGGUAG
rnacentral:rRNA from 1 species